rnacentral:misc_RNA from 1 species
AAAACAUGUGGGAAAAUCUGUUACCAGAGAGUUAACUUAGUGACAUUAUUUAUUAUUCUAGUUAUGCAUUUGUAAAUUUGUACUGUGUUAAGCCUAUGUCCUGAACACCACAAUUAUUGGCUCUUGAGAGGUCAUCUUCAAAAUUUGAAAAUGAAAGAAGGGUUUCAGAAGUGAACUGAAAACAAUGUGAAUGAUAGGAAGAGAUGUACCCUGUGCAGCCAUAACUGGAUGAG